GUGGUCAAAAAGAAUUUGUCAGGGGCUGAGGUGACCAAGGGAAAGGAAAGGACAGGUAGUCUUUUAGUUAUGAUACAUUUCGAUGAGGAAAGAAUGCCCAAUAGGGUAUUUCUUGGUGGAAAUGCCUUUGGCGUUAAGACGAAUACAAUACAAGAGGCUCAGCUUAUGGGUAUUACUGAUGUUGAUGUUAGUCCAACAGUGGCUAUUGCCAAUUUUACCGCCUUGGUUAUUUCCAUUGCCUUCAGUCGGGCUUGUGUAACACGUGGACUUCCAGAGACGGUGGGGCGUGUGCUUUUACAGUGUAUUGGAUAUAAUAGUGAAAGAGCCCGGCUUGCGAAACAAGUUAAGUCCUCAGGCUUAAGUCCCUUAACACUACAAAACUUCUUAAGGAAUACUUCAGUAGUUUCUAAGGCUCUGUUAGACUAUUUAAAAGGAACAAAUCUGACUAAACGGAUUUAGUAUAUUAGCAUUUGUUUGUUCGUUUCUUCCACCCAACAUCGAUGCUCCCCACUCCAUCACAGUAGGUGGGGGAAAUGCACCAGAAGUUUGUUUGCCAACCGCCAUAAAACCCGAGGAAGAUGAACGUUUAAUCACGCAUGCGCAAAUGUGUUUCGAGAGGAAAGUGGCAGAAAAUAAGGCAUUCACUAAAUUCCAGGGGUUUCAUUACCACGACGUAAAAUGGGCGUUUCUGGAGGUGUUGGGAAAACGCCCCCUUUCCGAAAAAAAUAAAUAAAUAAGAGGUCACCGAUCAUGCGCAGAAUACUGUUUUUUUGUGCGGGUAUUUCCAUAUGUACAUGUUAUUUAUGUUUUAUAAUCUUACAUUUUAACGAUUUUCGAAAACAAACAACCAGAAAUGUGCAGUAACCGUCAACAGCGUAAUUACGUCUUUCUGUAAGUUGUAGCCAGUCUCCUUACGAAAAUUAAUCAUGGUUUUUCAACAACAACAAACCUCCAUGGUAACUAACCAUAGUUUAGCCGUGUUAUUUGUAGUAAAACUGGUUAUACAAGUGGUAAUCAAUCCGGUUAAAAAAAAAAACAGACAUGGUUACCACACUUUUACUAUAAUAAACCAUGGUUAAUUUUAGUACUGACCCAAUCUUAAUUAAUUAAUUAAUUGGUAUGUGUGUUUGUGUGUGUGUGUGUAUAUAUGUAUAUAUUCAUUCUAAUAAAUAUCUUUCCACAAUUAUACAGAGUGAAUAUGAAGAAUAAAAAGAUCAUGUGGACGAAAGUAUGAACCUCUUCAAAUUAAUAUACUUUGUUUCUAUCAGACUGGCUCCCAUCAAAUUUCAAAAUAUGUACAUCACAAUAUAAAAGGUAUUUGACACGAAACACCUACGAUCAGGACAGGUAUCUGAAGUUAUAACAGUAUGAAUGUAAUCUGACAUAAAACCCCUACGAUCAGGACAGGUAUCUGAAGUUACUGUGUAUGUAAAAGGUAUUUGACACGAAACCCCUGCGAUCAGAAGGGGUAUUUGAAGUAAAUGGCUUUUCCCAAACUGCGCAUGAUCGGUGACCUAUGCCGAUUCUCAAAUAGGCCACGCCUGCCUGAUGACGUAGUUUCGAUUACGCUAUUCUGAAACCCCUGGAAAAAAGUCAAUCCCGAAAAAUGAUGGAUUGAUCGACGGCACAGACAGUAUGUCGCCAACAGAAAGAAGGCUGAGGCCCGUAAAACGGGUGGGGGACCGCCACCACUUUCACUCACUCCGGCUGAGGAGCUGAAACUGUCCCUUAAUCAAGGGCGACACAUGGUCGAUGGGAUUCCAGGGGACAGUUCGUCAGAGUCAGCUACCUCCCAUGAUAAGUGGCUUAGUAAAAUUUCCUGAUGGACACAUUGUUUUAACUGACCCUCCUGCAACAGCACAGCCUGCCACAGUUGAUGAAGAUGAAGAGGUUACUUCUGCUGUGACAGAGGUGGAAAAUGAAUAAGCUGGGAGGCCCACAGAGAUUAUGGCUGGGGAUUCCUAUUCAGAGGAGGGUCCAUCUAACUCCACGCAGAAUCUUGGCAGUGUUAGAAAUUGUUUACAGUUGUCCUGAUUAUAAAUAAGUGGUCUGUGUAUGUAUUUCAGACAUUUAUGAUAUCAAUCAUACUGAAUUAUAAUUCUUCCAGGUUGCCUGCAAAGGAGUUGUAUAAGGUCCAUCUUCAAAGGCAAAUUAGAAAAAGUGACAUGGAGAUGGACCUUAUACAACUUAAAAUAGAGGGGGGAAAAAAGCUAGUCUUGAAAUUGAACUGCUGGAGUACUGGCUAAACUGUACUGUACUGGGCACUGUAUUUGCCUAGUUAUGGCACAACGACGACUCCCAAAAUAUCCUGGCAUCAUAUACAGACCCUGGCCAUUUUGCUUCCACGUUGGUGAUGAGGUGGGAUGCAUCACGUAUUACCUAGUUAGUGGAUACCAUUAAUGUGGCAUUUAAUUCCUUAAACCUUGAUUUAGCACCCAAUAUUCUACUGUUACCUGCACAUUGAUGCUAUGGAAUGCCUUCCUAUUAACAUAGUCUCCUUCAUUGACUGAAGGAGCUUUAAUAGGACUGUAGGUAACAUCAAUGCAUCCAAUAACAUUUGGGAACCCUGAUAUUGAAAGUUAGAUGAUUAGAUAUGUUAUGUAUGCAUAGAUAGAUGAAGUAGUGCUAUAUGUCUCUCAUAAAUAUCAUAGAAUGGA